UACGUAGGGGGCAAGCGUUGUCCGGAAUCAUUGGGCGUAAAGAGCGUGUAGGCGGCCCGAUAAGUCCGCUGUGAAAGUCCAGGGCUCAACCCUGGGAUGCCGGUGGAUACUGUCGGGCUUGAGUCCGGAAGAGGAGUGUGGAAUUCCUGGUGUAGCGGUGAAAUGCGCAGAUAUCAGGAGGAACACCAAUGGCGAAGGCAGCACUCUGGGACGUGACUGACGCUGAGACGCGAAAGCGUGGGGAGCGAACAGG
rnacentral:rRNA from 1 species